UACGUAGGGGGCAAGCGUUGUCCGGAUUUAUUGGGCGUAAAGCGCUCGCAGGUGGUUCGUUGCGUCGUGCGUGAAAGACCCCGGCUCAACUGGGGGAUGUCGUGCGAUACGGGCGGACUGGAGGCCAGUAGGGGGAUGCGGAAUUCCGGGUGUAGUGGUGAAAUGCGUAGAGAUCGGGAGGAACACCCGUAGCGAAGGCGGCCGACUGGACCACACCUGACGCUGAGGCGCGAAGGCCAGGGGAGCGAACGGG
rnacentral:rRNA from 1 species